GCUUGAACCUGGGAGGCAGAGGGUGCAGUGAGCCAAGAUUGUGCCAUUGCACUCCAACCUGGGCUACAGAGCGAGACUCUGUCUCGGGAAAAAAAAAAAGCAUAAUCAAAAAGAUCUUUGAUAUUAAGUCAAUAUUUGUAAGCAGUACUAUGCUAGGUUUUUGUGGUUUUGUUUUUUGGUUUUUUGAUUUUUUGGGGUUUUUUUGGGACAGGUUCUUGUUCUGUUGCCCAGGCUGCAGUGCAGUAGCGUGAACAUGGCUUACUGCAGCCUUGACCUCCUGGACUCAAGUGAUCCUCCCACCUCAGCCUCUCAAGUAGCUGGGUAGCUGGGACACAGGUGCACACCACCAUGCCUGGCUAAUUUUUUUAUUUUUUAUUUUUUGUAGAGACAGGGUCUCCCUAUGUGGCCCAGGCUGGUCUUGAACUCCUGGGCUCAAGUGAUCCUUAUGCUGGUAUUAUUAAUCCCAUUACAUCUUUUUCCAUCAGUAAAAAAGCUUUUCCUUUACAAGAGCAUUUUCCAUUUCCAACAGAAGCCUACAUUGAGUGGACAAAAUGAGCUUAUUCACCUUAGAAAAGAAAAAUCUUAUUGGACACUGGGAUGAAAAGCAUACGGGUUAUUGUGAGUUUUUUCCUAAGUUCACAUCAGAUGAGUAAUGUGCCAAUGUAACAGUUUGAGGGAGACACAUCCCACAUGAGUGUGAAAACCCAAUCAUCAUGCUUAAAAAGUACAAAGUGAUUGGAGGCUGUUGUUACAGAGUGAAAACCACUCAAAUGUCAGUGUUGUUCUUUUCAGUUCACAUCAGACACUUAAAAUUUUUUUGUUUUGACUAUCAAACGUUUCAGAAAACUCAAGAGAAGGAAAGUCUGUCAUAUUUACUGAUAUUUUUGCUUACCAUGUUCUUUCUUUUCUUCCUGAUGUGCUAAGGCUUUUUCUUUUUGUCUUUUUCUUUCUUUUUAGAGACCCUCCUUUAGCCGUCCUUUUAGGGGAGGUCUAUUGGUGAUGUUCCCUUAGGUUUCCUUCACCUGAAAAUGUCUUCAUGUCCCCUCCCUUCCUGAAAGGUAUUUCCACUGGCUACAGGAUUCUAGGUUGAUAGUUUUCUUUCAGCACUUGAAAAAUGCUGUGCUGCUUCCUCCUGCUCUCCGUGGUUUCUCAAGCGAAUCUGUAGCCAUUCUAAUGAUUUUCCCCUGUGGAUAGAUACGGUGUCUUCUCUGGCUGCUUUCAAGCUUUUCUCUUUGCUUACUUUUCAGAAGUUUAAUUAGGAGAUUCUUGGCUUAGAUUUAUUUGGGUUUUUACUGUUUUUGGUUCACUCAGCUGCUUGAAUCUGUAGGUUUAUUUUUAUGGCCAAAUUUGGAAUCUGGGGAGUUUUCAGGCAUUCUUUCAUCCAGAACUUUUUCAUUCACAUCUUUCCUUUCGAACUCUACUUCCACAACUCUACUGAUACAAAUACUAGAUCUUUUGUUAUAAUUCUUAAGGCUCGGCUCUCCCACCUCCACAUCCCCCUCCAUUUUUCUCAGUUGUUUACAUUGGAUAAUUUCUAUUGUUCUAGCUUCCAGUUCACUAAUUCUUUCCUCGGACCCUUUUAUUCUGCUCUUAAACCCAUUCACUGAGCUUUUCAUUUCAGUUUUUUAGUUUUUGUUUUGUUUUGUUUCUUGUUUUUAUUUUUUGAGAUGGAGUUUUGUUCUUGGUGCCCAGGCUGCAAUGCAGUGGCGCGAUCUCAGCUCACCGCAACCUCCACCUCCCGGGUUCAAGCAAUUCUCCCGUCUCAGCCUCCCGAGUAGCUGGGACCACAACCUCCACCUCCCGGGUUCAAGUGAUUCUCCCGUCUCAGCCUCCUGAGUAGCUGGGACUACAGGCACAUGCCACCACACUGGCUAAUUUCUUUAUUUUUAGUAGAGUUGGGCUUUCAUCACAUUCGUCAGGCUGAUCUCAAACUCCUGACCUCAGGUGAUCCGCCCACCUCAGUCUCCCAAAGUUCUGGAAUUACAGGCAUGAGCCACCAUGCCCGGCCAUCUUUUAGUUCUAAAGUUUCCAUUUUUGAAGCCAAGUGUGGUGGCACAUGCCAGUAAUCCCGGUACUUUGGGAGGCUGUGGCGAGCAGAUUACUUGAGGUCAAGAAUUCAAGACCAGCCUGGCCAACAUGAUGAAACCCCAUCUCUACUAAAAAUACAAAACAGCCAGGCGUGGUGGUGCGCACCUGUAAUCCCAGUUACCUGGGAGGCUGAGGCACGAGAAUUGCUUGACCCAGGAGGCAGAGGUUGCAGUGAGCCAAGAUGGCACCACGGCAGUCCAGCCUAGGCGACAGAGUAAGACUCUCCAAAAAAAAAAAAAAAAA
ensembl:lncRNA